rnacentral:rRNA from 1 species
UCCGGUUGAUCCUGCCAGAGGCCACUGCUAUUGGGGUUCGACUAAGCCAUGCGAGUCUAUGGGCUUUGCCCAUGGCGGACGGCUCAGUAACACGUGGUUAACCUACCCUCAGGUGGGGGAUAACCUCGGGAAACUGAGGCUAAUACCCCAUAGGGGAUGAUGUCUGGAAUGAUUCAUCCCUGAAAGGACAUCCGCCUGAGGAUGGGACUGCGUCCGAUUAGGUAGUUGGUGGGGUAACGGCCCACCAAGCCUACGAUCGGUACGGGCCUUGAGAGAGGGAGCCCGGAGAUGGGGACUGAGACACGGCCCCAGGCCCUACGGGGCGCAGCAGGCGCGAAACCUCCACAAUGCACGAAAGUGCGAUGGGGGAACCCCAAGUGCCUAUGCACAGCAUAGGCUUUUCCCAAGUGUAAACAGCUUGGGGAAUAAGGGCUGGGCAAGUCCGGUGCCAGCAGCCGCGGUAACACCGGCGGCCCAAGUGGUGGCCACUCUUAUUGGGCCUAAAGCGUCCGUAGCCGGUCCAGUAAGUCCCUGUUUAAAUCCUGCGGCUUAACCGCAGGACUGGCAGGGAUACUGCUGGACUAGGGACCGGGAGAGGGUGAGGGUACUCCAGGGGUAGCGGUGAAAUGCGUUGAUCCCUGGAGGACCACCUAUGGC